AAGUUAAUAUUAUAGUUGAAAAAACAUAAUUUACCUGGUCGGGAACGGACGGGGAUUUUAUGAGAACCAAAUUACAUCGGUUUUGGUCGGGUUUUUUUUGUUCGGUUGGAAGCUCGGUCGGAGCGAAGAUUGGUCUGCGGUGUGCGGUGUGCACGUUCACAGACGGGAUUCUAGAUGGCGAGCCAGACCUAGACCUUCAAUUCAUCUUUUCCAUCGCAUCAAGGAGAGACUCUCUUGCGUGUGGUAAUUGCUGCCGGAGCGGUAGGAAUAUCAGGAACCAGUUCAAAUCGAAUUGAAGAGAACUGAGAACUGUUUCAAUUAAUAUUUUGUUUUUGGACUGAAUCAACUGAGACUUUUUGUUGAACUGAGCAUCUGAACUUACAUUGAGACUUGAAUUUGAAUUUAAAGUGCCAUACUUUGAUUUUCAUAUGUUUGUGUCUCUGAAUGUGAUUUGAAAGAUUGUGGUCCGUUUUGAUUUACUUGUGUUUGAAGGUAUUUACCUACCUGAAAAAGAAUGGAUAACGAGUUAACUCAGGAAGAAAAACAGGAAUUUUAAAAUAGAUGCAACCUAGGAAAAAAGAGAUUGGUCUAAUUAACUCAAAUUAGUCCGCCUAAAAUAACCUAGGAGAACCGAGAUUGGUCUAAUUAAAUUAGAUUAGUCUUAUUAAAACAAACUAGGUAAACUAAAGAGUAAAAAGAAGAGUGGUAUACUUUUUUCCCCUUCACUCUUUUUCCCAUUUAUAUUUACCUCAUUAUUAAGAAUCUGCAGGGUAUUUUUAAGUUCAUGUGUUGUAUUUUAUGUGUGUGUUCUGCAUUCAGUAAACUGCCGGCCUUUUCCAUAGAAA